AGCGAACGCUGGCGGCAGGCUUAACACAUGCAAGUCGAGCGGGCAUCUUCGGAUGUCAGCGGCAGACGGGUGAGUAACACGUGGGAACGUACCCUUCGGUUCGGAACAACUCUGGGAAACUGGAGCUAAUACCGGAUACGCCCUUAUGGGGAAAGGUUUACUGCCGCAGGAUCGGCCCGCGUCUGAUUAGCUAGUUGGUGGGGUAACGGCCUACCAAGGCGACGAUCAGUAGCUGGUCUGAGAGGAUGAUCAGCCACACUGGGACUGAGACACGGCCCAGAAUCCUACGGGAGGCAGCAGUGGGGAAUAUAGGAAAAUGGGCGCAAGCCUGAUCCAGCCAUGCCGGGUGAGUGAUGAAGGCCUUAGGGUUGUAAAGCUCUUUUGUCCGGGACGAUAAUGACGGUACCGGAAGAAUAAGCCCCGGCUAACUUCGUG
rnacentral:rRNA from 1 species